rnacentral:rRNA from 1 species
GACGAACGCUGGCGGCGUGCUUAACACAUGCAAGUCGAACGGAUAGGCCUCUUUCGGGGGGUACUCGAGGGGCGAACGGGUGAGUAACACGUGAGUAACCUGCCCUUGACUUUGGGAUGAGUUCAGGAAAGUGGAGAUAAUACCGGAUAGGCUCUACUGCUGCGUGGUGGGGGUUGGAAAGUUUCGGCGGUUGGGGAUGGACUCGCGGGUUAUCAGCGUGUUGGUGGGUUGUUGGCUUACUGAGGCUUUGACGGGUAGCCGGACAGUGAGAGUGACCGGCCGCACAGGGACCUACAGAAGGCUCAGACAGCGACGCGUCGCAGAAGGGGGAAAUACUGCAGAAGGGGUGGAAGGCGGAUGAAGAAAGCUCGCGGGUCGGAUGACAGUCUUGGGGUUGUAAACCGCCUUCGCUCAUGACGAAGCUUUGUGUGACGGUAGUGGGUAAAGAAGCACCGGCUAACUACGUG